rnacentral:lncRNA from 1 species
GUCCGUAGUUAUCUUAAAGAAAAAUUCAUUUUUGAUUUUGACAUAACAUCCAUUUUUUUACUUAAAUUUUAAACAAAUAAAUUAGAUGAGGAAAUCCGAAUAAGAAAAAUAAAGGUAAAAUAAAAAUGCCAAGACAUUUGAAAAAUUUAUCUAGAUUGAUUAAUAAAAGUGUUCAAGUAAAUACAAAUAAAUAAGUUAGAAUUGAAGUAAAUAGAGAAGAGUUGAGAUUGGGCCCUUUCUGGCCAUUAAAAGUUGAAAAAAAUACAUAAAGUAUUAAAUUACAAAAAAUAACAACACUUUUAUCAAAUUACAUUUUAUAGCAUAUGUAUUUGUAUGUAUUUGUAUUUUUGUAGCAACAGUUUGCAAAAAUACAAAAUACAUAUCGAUGUCACGGACUAUCCUCUCGGUUUAUUCUCUCCUUAGUCUGAGAAAGGACAGUAAAAAUCAUAUAUAUUUAUAUUUUUGUAGCAACAGUUUGCAAGAAUAUAAAAUACAACUUGCUAUAUUAUGUAAUUAUGAAACUGUUGCUAUGAAAGUCAUAACUAAGAGGAUAAGUAUGUUAUUUCCGAAUUUUGCCCUUAAAAGUUUGUCCAACUUUUGGACAUGAACUUUCAAUCCACUUUCGCUCUUGUAUAUCCGUUAUAUAUCAGUAGCUCCUUUUAAUGUGUUUUUUAUACUACUGCAUAUACAGUGUAGAUCAGCCUGAAACCCUGCUUAUUUCCCCUCCAUUUUUCAUCAUGCGCCAUUUAAUAGUGUGCAUCUACAGCUUCCAAUGUAUACCAGUCGUAUAUUAUCGUCCACCUUUUGAAUUUUGACAAGGCUUGACGCGAUUCAGGUUGGGUUUAACCGGAUGAAAAAGCAAGAGAUGGGAGUCUGAUGGACUCAAGGAGGAAUUUCAAGCAUAGAAAAGAAGAGAUAAAUAUUACUAUGAAUUCGUAUAAAAAUAUGGCCUUAACAGAGAGACAAAAAUGCUGAGCAGUUACCAACUAGAUAGAGGUCAAGUCGCACAACCAAAUACAAAAGGCAUUAUCCGGGCAUUUCAUAGACCAAAAGUGAAUAUAUGAGCAAAGUAAACAAAAGCAGUUUGCACAUUAAGGAUAAGCAUCCCUCCGAAAUAUUAUGCGAUAAGCAUUCAGUUACUAUUUUAAAGUAAUCUAGAACACAGGCAAUAAUAGCCAUAUAGUGAUGAAAGAAGUGAAGAGAGGAGUCACAACCGACGUCUAUUUUAGAUAAAGAUAAUUCAAAUGAUACUCCAUGAAACGAAAGGAGUUUAUCUUCAUGAUUAACUAUCUAGUUUAUCCCAUCAAAGCAGAACACGCAAGCAACAGUCAACUCAAGUAAGAAAAAAGAAAAAAAAUGAGACGAUCUAAACGGGUUGAGUUUCAAAUAGCGGAAAAAGAGGAAGAGGUUGUUUGGUCAAAAAGUAAUGACUUUCUUUAUACUUGAAGCGCAGCUAAUCGUUCAAUCCAAACGUAAUAGUUUAGGGUAAGGCUCGAAAUAUGGGAUGUCAGGGAUAUGAGAAAGAAAAAUAUAUAUAUUAACAACAAAAUGGAGAAACCAAUACUUGUUAAGCUCUCUGAAAAAACAUGUUCCAAUUCAUUAAUUAAAAUUAAAUAGAAAUCUAUUCAUUAAUUAAAAUUAAAUAGAAAUCUAAAGGAAGGCAGCUAGCCAGUGGGAAUUAACGAAAGUAAACAGAUGGUUUAACAUAAGCUCAACGGCAAAAUGCUUCAAAGAACACUCGUACAACAACUUAAAAUACAGAAUUUCAUCAUAAUCACAACUUAUCAUGAGAGAAAAUUCUAUAAUUAACCGAUAUCAUAGUACGAAGAAUCCAGUGAACUAACACACAUCAAUCAAAAUCUGGUAUAAAUUCGAAGCCACCAUGUCGUACUUUGCUCACUCUUAUAAUCAUAUAAAGAACUUAUCAUUUGAAAAUAGGGAAAGGAAUGACUUAUAAAAUCCUGAAAAAUCACUUAUAUAACUCAAACAAUAACCAAACAAGCCAAAAGUUCAAAACUAAAGCUGAAAGUUCAAGGCUAUUCCAAUAUAGAAAGUUUUAACUACAGGAUAACAUAAAAGAGAGUACGGGGAAGUAAAACUACUGCCAAUUAGUUCAACUAAGGUACCAAAAUAAGUAACCACAUGAAGGAUAGACUUAUGAGAUUUUCAACGACAUAGAGACGUCAAUCAAUUACAAAAAUUUAAGUGUCAAGAUAAAAGAAAAAUGAGAAGAAAUUACCUCUUUUUGAGCAGGAACCAGGACGAUUGGUAGACGACAAUUAGUUUUUUCACACCACUUCGAGAUGCGAGAGAUUAAAAAAAGUAGAGUAUUAACGAAAAUCAGAAAAUAAAGUAAAUAGAGAACUACGUGAAUCGGAGAGUGUGAUAAAACUCAAAUAUUCCCUCAUUUUCUCUAUCCCUACCCCCCAUUGUGAAAAGAAAGACCCGUAUUUAUAGGCAAAGAUGGGUUGCAACAGCUUCUUGGAGAAACGUUUAGAAAUAUCAAAUUUUUAAAUUCUAGAACAGGGAAAUUUCAGAAGUAUUGAUGAUGAAAAGAAAUAAAGAAGGGAAAGGGGUCAUCUCUUCUCUAUCAAUCCUGAAGAAAAAGUGACGAAUUCGAGGCAAUUCAGCUUGAGCCUAUAGGAUUAAACUCCGUAGUCGUCGAAUCAAAUUUGAAACACCUUGAAUUCAAUAGUUCUUUAGAUUUCCCCCAUUUUUCUUGAAAUUGUAGAGCAUUGAGCUCUGAUUUUCUUGAACAAAAGUGAUGGACAGACAGGUGAUGUUGAUGGAGACGGAAAUAGAGUAAGGGAGAGAAGAGACCACCAAAUUUUUCAUUAUCCAGUGAUUGAAACGCUGAUCGGGUUUGCUUAGGAUUUGUCGUUGUUGAUUUUGUCGUUGCUCUUGGUUGGUGUACGUGUUAUUGACUGUUGUUAGCCGUUGUUUGUUGGAGAAAGGAAAAUGGACUGAAAUAGGUGGACUGGGUCUGUUUCAG